rnacentral:rRNA from 1 species
GGGUUGUGAGGUUAAGCGACUAAGCGUACACGGUGGAUGCCCUGGCAGUCAGAGGCGAUGAAGGGCGUGCUAAUCUGCGAUAAGCGCCGGUAAGGUGAUAUGAACCGUUAUAACCGGCGAUACCCGAAUGGGGAAACCCAGUGUGACUCGUCACACUAUCAUUAACUGAAUCCAUAGGUUAAUGAGGCGAACCGGGGGAACUGAAACAUCUAAGUACCCCGAGGAAAAGAAAUCAACCGAGAUUCCCCCAGUAGCGGCGAGCGAACGGGGAGGAGCCCAGAGCCUGAAUCAGCAUGUGUGUUAGUGGAAGCGUCUGGAAAGGCGCGCGAUACAGGGUGACAGCCCCGUACACAAAAGCGCAUGUGCUGUGAGCUCGAUGAGUAGGGCGGGACACGUGGUAUCCUGUCUGAAUAUGGGGGGACCAUCCUCCAAGGCUAAAUACUCCUGACUGACCGAUAGUGAACCAGUACCGUGAGGGAAAGGCGAAAAGAACCCCGGCGAGGGGAGUGAAAAAGAACCUGAAACCGUGUACGUACAAGCAGUGGGAGCCCCACCACUAAGCCAGUGGUGAACUCCACAUACGCAUCCUUUGCUGAGGAUACGGUUAACGGAGCGCAAGCGACGUUCAACCGCAAAAGAAGCAGAGGGGGCUUAGUGGUGGGGUGACUGCGUACCUUUUGUAUAAUGGGUCAGCGACUUAUAUUCUGUAGCAAGGUUAACCGUAUAGGGGA